AGCUCCAAUAGCGUAUAUUAAAGUUGUUGCAGUUAAAAAGCUCGUAGUUGGAUUUCUGUUCAAGACGACCGGUCCGCCUUCUGGUGUGCACCAGGUUUGACUUGGACAUUUUCCUGAGUUUCUGCGAGGCGAUUCAGUUCGUCGCGUGGGGCGCAGGACUUUUACUUUGAGAAAAUUAGAGUGUUUCAAGCAGGCGUUUGCCCUUGAAUACUGCAGCAUGGAAUAAUACCAUAGGACUUCGGUUCUAUUGUUGGUUUCUAGUGCCGAAGUAAUGAUUAAUAGGGACAGUUGGGGGCACUCGUAUUUAACUGUCAGAGGUGAAAUUCUUGGAUUUGUUAAAGACGAACUACUGCGAAAGCAUUUGCCAAGGAUGUUUUCAUUA
rnacentral:rRNA from 1 species